AACGAACGCUGGCGGCAGGCCUAACACAUGCAAGUCGAGCGCGCCCUUCGGGGUGAGCGGCGGACGGGUGAGUAACGCGUGGGAACGUGCCCUUUUCUACGGAAUAGCCUCGGGAAACUGAGAGUAAUACCGUAUACGCCCUUUGGGGGAAAGAUUUAUCGGAAAAGGAUCGGCCCGCGUUGGAUUAGGUAGUUGGUGGGGUAAUGGCCUACCAAGCCGACGAUCCAUAGCUGGUUUGAGAGGAUGAUCAGCCACCCUGGGACUGAGACACGGCCCAGACUCCUACGGGAGGCAGCAGUGGGGAAUCUUAGACAAUGGGGGCAACCCUGAUCUAGCCAUGCCGCGUGAGUGAUGAAGGCCUUAGGGUUGUAAAGCUCUUCAGCUGGGAAGAUAAUGACGGUACCAGCAGAAGAAGCCCCGGCUAACUCCGUG
rnacentral:rRNA from 1 species